AGGGUAUAGCUCAGUGGUAGAGCACAUGCUUAGCAUGCACAAAGUCCUGGGUUCAAUCCCCAGUACCUCUG
rnacentral:tRNA from 1 species